AGCACAUGUGUUUGUUUGUGUUUGUUGGAGAGACUUUGAGACAGGUGCAGAGAAUAAAUCCUCUUCUGCAACCCAAAACUCAUUGUUUGGUAUGUGUUUUGAUACAAAUAAGAAGGAACAUA